GUGGGGAAAUUUCACGGCUUGUUUCGAACGUGCUCUCCCGGACCAGCGCUCCCCCGACCCGGCCUAUCAGUAGGGAAAAUGCUCCCCCAACACAUUACCUCGCGCAACCUUCCCCACGGGCAAAGGGAGACGAUGCAAGGGAUGCUCCACCGUCUGCACGUCACCGUCCGCUCCGCUGCCGCAGCCUUUCCUUGACACGGUCGCGAGCGGGACACGAGGUAUUGAACCAUUGCCACCUUCCCUGGCUUGCCGUCCUUCAUCGUUGUCCCCGUUCAGUUUGCUAUCCUUCACUGUCGUCUUCCAUGACACGAUGUAAGGUCUUCCCACUCCUCUCAUACUACCUAGGGUUUUGAAUCAUUCCCCAUUCUAAUGUUAGAUCUUCUUCGAUUCUUGAUCUCCAAGAUCCAAUACAAGGUCGGCUCUCCUGCAAGUCUGUGGCACAUGGAGCGAACCGAGCAAGUCCGCGCCUCCACCAGCGUCCACCGCUCCUCCACCAAGCAAGUUCUUCUCACCCUCUCUACUCGUUUCCUGGAUGCGAAUUCAACUCACGUCGGCCAGGGGUGAACCAAGAAUAAAAUUAGAGUGAGAGCAUACUUGUAAGGAUGAACAUCAAAAUACCAGAGCAUGGACAUCUAAGUUGGACUGACUAGGGGACCAUAUGGUGAAAUCUGAACUAUAAUACUUGCAACAGAGAAGUGAGCGAGGGCCUAGGCCCUCACUCACAUGUAUGUAGGUCCGCCCCUUCCAAGAGAUGCACUUAGAGCGAAUUCAAUGUUUGGACAAGUUCUAAAAGGCCCUAGGAACAUAUUGGAACACAUUAGAAAAGUUAGAAAGGUCAGAUAUUCAAUAUGAUGUUCUAGGAGCUAAGUCUCAGUGACAUUUAGUGAAAGGGUUGAGCAGGUCUAAAAUAUGAAGAACUAUGACUCAAUGUGGUUGGAUGGACUAAGGAUAAGUUUAUCUAAGUCAUAUAAGUGCUCAAGAGUAUAUCGAAACGAAGAGAACAAAAGAGAAGAAAAGAAUGUCUAGAAAGGACAAGUCUAGCUACUUUGAGGUGCACCGAGCUGGUCUGGUUUGGCACCGGACCGGGCACCAAACUAGGCACCUAGAGACCUUGUUUUUUGGGCAACAGUGACCUGGCGCACCAGACCAGCCCGAUAUAACUGGACUCGACACCCAGAGAGAAUGCUUUUCAGACUUUGGCAGCUCAGGUGCACUGGACUAGUCUAGUGUGCACUAGACCAACAAUGUUUCCAAUGGUUGAAAAGGCUUGGUACAAUAGUCCGCUGACGUGGCUAAAUAAUGUGUGGUCUGGUGUGGCACCGGACUGGUCAGGAGCACACUGAUAACUUUCGCACAAUGACUACAAACAAGACAGAGUGUUAGAGGUUCGGUGAGCACUGGACUUGCUACAAUGAGAGGUAUGAUGCAUACAUUUUAAAAACAGAUUUGGGAGUUGUGUUCCAACAUCUAUGUGAGGGUUUGGUGUUAUAUAUAUGAUCCAACUAGUGUGUUACACAUCCAAGAGUCGAGCAAACAAGUCUAUACACAAGAGCAACACAUCCAAGUGACUAAAGAGUCCCGAGUGCCACAAAUUUAGUAGAGGGCUAGUCUUAGCCAUUCUUUAUGAGAAAUUGAACUAGUGCACUUAAGUAAGUUAAGUUGUGGAGUUGUGUUGCGAUCUUUGAGCUUGGAGCUAAGACUCCCACUAAGAUUGUAGAAGCGUGCAAGAGUCUCCAAGUGUGUGGAGAGACUUGCGGAGUCACGAACUCAUUGAGUAAGGGAAAGAGGACUCAUGUUUGAUCUUUGUGAUCACUUGAGUGAGGAAAGGGUUGAGAGACCCAAUCCUUAGGGGACUCCUCAAUGAAGAUGUAGGUUUCUUUGUGAAACCAAACUCCAGUAACAAAUUGUCGUGUCUCUCUGAUAGUUGCCUAAAGGGGAGGUGAAUAGGAACUCCUGAAUAUUUCACAAAUUCAAAACAAACUUGAUCCUAAUUAGAUGUUAGCACAACAUAUAGAUCAAAUCAAAGUGAGGAAGAAUGAAGUUCUUGCAGUUGUUUUCUCUCUUGAUUGUGGAUUAGAGAAUAGAGCAGAAUCACAAGUGAAGAAUAAGCAAUAACUUAGAGAGGGGAGAAGGGAAGAAUUACAAAAGAUAAAGCACACAAUUCAUAGACAAUUUUUCCCGUAGUUCGACCAAGCCUCAAAUGAUAGCCUACAUCCACGUUGUGGUGUCCAAAAGGACGAGGGUUGCACCCAACCCUUCUCCAGUGAUCCAAAGAUCAAUUUGAGGCCACAAAUUCCACUUAUAAUAUUCUCCUCACAAGGAUCUACAUAGAUCAAAGUCUCUUGCUAUUUGUACACAGGUUGAUGGGAGUUACAAUCUCCAAAAAAGCAAGAGGGAGGAAUAAACACAUACAAGAGCAUAGUAACAACACUAAGAGAUCGAAGAAUGCAAGCACAAAACUGAAACAAAGCCCUCUCUCGCGAAUACGAGCACUUGGAUCACUUGGUGUGCUUCUCUAAUGCGCAGGAGUGAGUAUGCUAGCUCUUGAGUUCGUUGUUGUAUUGAGGGGGAUAGUUUGGGGGUUCUAUUUAUAGCCCCUGUUGGGGGCCUUCGGCUUCCGAAGGUCCUCAAAAACAUGAUUUAACAAUGCCUCUGGAGUAUAAUGUGUGGACAGGGAUCUUCGAACAAGAACCCACGGUAUGAAGAAGCACGAAAACAAUACGAAGGAUGAAACAGAGCCGAAGUUAUGCGCAAGGGAGCUUCGGCAUGAUGACAGAAAAGAGGAAACUGACUUAAAGAGGAAAAGACUAUCUAGACCUAGAUAGAUUACUAUAGAGUUAUUGUCAAAAGCAAAGGGCCUGGAUGUAAUUUUGCAUGGGCUGCGACCUGUGCCUAUAAAUAGGUGAACAAUAUUCCCGUACUGUUCACGCUGACUUGGCAUUCACUUUCGCGUCACGCUUGUACCCUUGCUUUCCUUCGAGCCGAAGGUACAUUUAUAAUUUGUUAUUUUUGAUACAGUAACGCAAAUAAAAAUAAGUUGAUAAUAAUGUUUAAAGUGUUUAUGUUAUUUUUCAUAUCUUGCAUAUGAAUCCUUCUUCAUCAUUUAUUGUGCUUAUGAAGGUUUGUCCUUCAUAACCUUCGUCCGGAAUUCAUUAUAUCCGAAGGGAGAUAAUGCUUUGAAGGACGAAGGACUUUAACAUUUAACACUUUCUAUGUUGCCUUGUUCUUAACUCUUAGCAUUUGAGAACAAGUCCCCAACAUUGGCGCCCACCUCCGGUGAACUCACUUCCACUUUUUGAGUUUCGAACACCUUCGGCAAGCAUAGACCUUCGUCAUGCCGCCAAAGAAAGCUUCAGCAACAGGGGCUGCCGCUCUGCAGCCGCUGGACCCCAACCAGGAGAGCCUCUCUCUUCGGGAGGCCCGAAGUCAGAAGAGGAAGGCCACCAGUCCAACGCCUCAGGAGGACGACUUGGAUCAAGAGAUCAGAAAUAUGGAGAUGCUCCAUCAGCAGGUGCAGAGGAAGAAGGAAAAGAUGGCUAGGCUAGCUGACCUGCAAAGGCAGAUUGACGAAGCCUCUGAAGAAGUUCGCCAUCUUGCUCAAGAUGAGCAGAACCGAAGGCCUCAGCACAGAGAGCAUCAUCAAGAGGGCUUCUUCAACGAGGAUGACUGGUAUGAGGAUUUCCAUCAUGGAAAUUUUGCUUUUGAUGAUGCUUCUCCUCUGUCAGCAGAACUGCAGGCUACACCUUGGCCUCCGUCUUACAAGCCACCUCAACUCCCCAUGUACGACGGACACUCAGAUCCGAAGCAGUUUCUGAUGAGCUACGAAGCAACGAUAUCUUCCUAUGGUGGCAAUACUGCAGUCAUGGCAAAGUCUUUCGUCAUGGCUGUCAAGAAUGUUGCACAAACCUGGUACUCCUCUCUUCGGCCAGGAACAAUCACAUCAUGGAAGAAGCUGAAGGAUAUGCUGAUUACCAGUUUCCAAGGGUUUCAAACGAAGCCGGUCACCGCUCAAGCUUUAUUCCAGUGCACCCAAGAUCACGAAGAAUAUCUUCAGGCGUAUGUCCAAAGGUUCUUACGCCUGAGGGCACAAGCGCCAACAGUGCCCAAUGAAAUUGUCAUUGAGGCCAUGAUUAAGGGGCUUCGGCCAGGACCUUCAGCCCAGUACUUUGCCAGGAAGCCCCCUCAAACUCUGGAGAAACUGCUUCAGAAGAUGGAUGAAUAUAUCCGCGCUAACAAUGACUUUCGACAGAGAAGGGAGGAAGCUUACAGGUUCUCCGAAAUAGCCAGGGGCUUCGGAGGAAGAAUUCAUCCUAGACAUGUCAGAUCGAUUCAUUCCACUCAGAAUGAUGAUAGGGGAAGCCAGCAGCAGAGGCCACAAUAUUCCUCCCAGGCUUCGGGGCAGCAGCAGAGCUAUCCUUGGCCCCCAGCUCCAAGGGGCAGAGGUGCCAGGGGCUUCGGAGGAAGGUUUGGGGAUCAGCCCAGGAAAAUUUAUUGCCUAUUCUGUGGUGAGGACAAGGGCCACACCACCAGGAUGUGCCAUGUCACCAUCCAGAAACAAAAGGAAAUAGCAGAAGCUGCAGCCCAACAGAGCCAGUCGAAGCAAGUUAUGCAUACUGCUUCGUACCACUCGCCUUAUAUUCUAGAGUAUGUGGACAACCACCCUGCAACUUCUGUUGCUUCGGCAAGCCAACCUCAGGCAUCUUGGCAACAGCCUCCACCUCCACCACCAAUGCAACGAGGCCAGCAGCCAGAAGGGAGUCAGCAUACUCAACACCAACGAGACUUCAGAGAAGAGUUCGAAGCUCGCACAGUCAAUAGUACUAUGCCAGAAUCGAAGCACAUUUACUAACAAAUAUCCUACCUCGGCAGCAGUUUUUGCAUUCAAUAUCAUUUUCUUUUUAAUAAGGAACAAUUAUUGAAAGCCUAAGUGUUUUUUUGUCGUUUUCAAUUUCUUGUAAUAGCUUCGCUUUUGCCAUAGUAAAAAUAUACCUUCUCCAGAGAAUAACGGAGUCCAAAAAGUUGCCGAAGAAUAAGAACUUAUGGUUACAAGGAGAAUCUCCGAAAUAACAAAAAGUCGUUCCUUAGGGAGCGCAGCGUAAGUUUUCUGCUCAAAAGUCGCUCCGAAGGGAAUGCAGAGCUUACAGCGAAAAAUAAACGCUGAUUCCGCUGAAGUAAAAGGCGAAGAAGCUCCUAAGGGAGGCUUACAGCGAAAAAUAAACGCUGAUUCCGCUGAAGUAAAAGGCGAAGAAGCUCCUAAGGGAGGCUUACAGCGAAAAAUAAACGCUGAUUCCGCUGAAGUAAAAGGCGAAGAAGCUCCUAAGGGAGGCUUGCAGUGAAAAAUAAACGUCGAUCUUCGGCAAAUAUCAUUUUGCAUAACAUCACAUCAUCACAUCAUUUGCAAAGCAUAACAUCAUACAUCAUAUUGCAUCAAUGACGCAAGAAGGGGGUUCAAUGUUGAUAUUCGAAGAUUGUUUCGAAGAAACAGUGCCAAGGCACAAAAAUAAUUAUUGAAGAAGUAUAUCUUCAUCAAACUCUGAAAUGAAAAGAUCUAUUGGUUACUGAUUUUACGAAGAUUGGAUGUUUUUAUGAAAUAUGGAUAUUAUUUACGAAGCAUGAAAAGAAGGGAAGGUGUUUUUUCGCCGAAGGCUCAAAAACGGUAUGUAUGUAAAGUUUCAUGCAUCGUAAAGAAUUGAACCAUAAAUAGCUUAUAUAUUACAUUCAAAGUUACAAAAUAUUACACAUAUUGUUCAACAAAUAUUACAUUCCAAAUGUUUUUACAAUAACAUCUAAUCUUCCCUUAGAACUACUUCUGCAACUUCGUUUAGUAGUUGAUCAACAACUUUGUCCAUGAUAGCUUCGACCAUUUUUCUAAUUUCGUCAUCCCCCUUUACGUUGGGGUCCGCUAAUGGCUCGGCGGGCUCUGAGGGAGGAGAAAGUGCGGCUGUGUUACAAAGUGUAAACAAGAUCGAAAUCAAAAAGUUACAACAAAAAGCCAAAAACUAGUAGUCAAUACCUAUUCGCGCUUCGAGAUCCGCACUUUUCUCAGUGGCCUCUGCUACUUUUCUAGCGUCAUGAAUACCUUUUUCGCUUUUCCGUAUAAUUUCUUGAGCCAUCUCCCGGCCACCAUUUUUCCAGAUGUCGGUGAAAAUUUUUCCACCAACCAAACUUGCUUCGGCCGAAGGGUCUUUUAUGUCUUCAGAAGAUAAGUCGGCUUCGGUUUGUGCCAAGGAUUUCACGUGAUUGCAGCCUUUUUCUCCAAAACAGUGGCAAUCCCCCUAGCACCCGAGAAGGCACAUAUGUCUCCGCGGCCAUUCAAAACUUCUUCAAAAGCUUCAGCUUCGUGGCUGAUCCAUCCAAUUGGGCCCUCGGGGUCGCCCCUUAUGAAAUUUUCUUCACUUGAGAACGCGCCAACGCUGGCGAAGCUGGUUCUUAUUUUCUUAACACAUUAUAUAGAUUUUUCAUAACACCUUUUCUUGGAUGCACGAAGCUCUUCAAUGUUUUUCUCUAAAUGAUUUGCCCAUUAUUCACUAAUUUUUCGUUUAGCUUCUUCAACUGUGCAUUCUUCUUUAGCUCUGGCUAGCUGUUUCUGAAGAUCCUCAAUUUCGCGCUUCUGAGCCUCAGCUUGAGCUUUAAAAGCAGCUUCGUCUUCUUUUAUUUUAUUCACCAAUGAAUGUAAUAUUUUAUCUUUUUCGAGACCUUCGUUCCUUAGUUCAAUUACUUCGGAACGAAGGUUGCUCAAGGCUAUGGUACACCCUUCAUCUUCAGCAUCUUUUUGUGCCCUGAGGGCAUUGCUAAGUAUAAGGCCCUGCAAAAAAAUGCGUUAAUAAGUUUAAGCAAAUGAAAAAUUUUGGUUUCAAGGAAUAAUACAAAGAUCUCAUUUUUUCACCUUUAAACUAUUGUACGCUAAGCUGUCGGCCAGCUCGUUUUUUGACAACACCGAGAGCCCGUCUUCUAAUGUUGGGAAUCCGAAGCUCUUGCUCAUCUCCCGACAGACAGAAAUCUCCUUGCUGUCAGGGAGACAAUACAAGAAGUCUUCUUCUCGACUGCUGUUGAAUACCAGCGCCCCUUUUGGAUAUUUCAAUUUUUGUGCAUAGAACUGAGCUUCUCCUUUUUCUUUUUCGGUCAGAUUUUUACCCGAAGCAUGACGUAAGACAUAGUCAAAAGCUUCAGAGGAUGCUUCGGGAAUAGGUGUGGCGAUUUUCUCAGAUAAAAUUUCUUCUACAGAUUCUUUUUCCGUUUCUUUUUCAAUUCCCAAGAAUUCUCUCUUGGUAGGCUCUGAAAGCCCAGUUUCAGUUUCUGCUUGACUUUUGGCAGCUUCGGCCUCAAUUUGUGUCUUUGGAGCUUUGGCAGCUAUCUUCGAAGUAGAGCUUGAAGAUUUUAUCGUUUCCAGCACAUCUAGCACGUUAACCAUUCUUUUCCUCUUGGGAGUUGUUGAAAGGUCUUUUUGUGCCCUCGGCAUUGGCAUUGGCACCUCAACUCUUGCUGAAGGACUUAAAAUUUCCGAUGUCUUUGUCUCUUCAGCCCUCGGUUCUUCUAUUUUUUCCAUCUCCAGCAUUACGGCCGGCUCUUCAAUAUUCUGCAGGGGAGUUGGCUCCUUGGCUUCGGUGGCCGAAGAGGUCUCACCGACAAACUCAGGCACUGUGGCCGGUUCAAUAUAGCGUGGCCGGUGCGUAAGAACCUUCAUCUUUUUCCUCUUCGGCGCUGGCUCACUAGGAGCGGCUGAAGCAACUUCCUUCACAGAAGCCGUAUCUUUUAUUUUUUGACCCCGUAUUGGGUAACGGUAGUCAGGAUAGACGAACCCAAUGGCAUCAAAUACUCGGUUGAGUCUUUUCUUCUUCCGGCCUCUGAAGGCCGCAGAUAGAGCAGUAUCUUCUGCCUUCGAGUAUGAUCCAAGCAGUUCAUCGCUUGUGGCCUCAAUACAUUUCAGCCAGUCAUCAUCUGGCUCGACGAACUUAUCUCCAUAUCUGAAGGUGUAUUUUAACCUAACUAGUCCACCUUCGUCAGGUUUGCUGAUGGUUUCCUUUGGCAUUUCCCACUUUUCUACAAGUGGCCAUACUCUGAAGGCAAUGUGUUCCUGGAUCAAAUCCCUUGUCCCGAUGAAAGAGCAAACCACGCCGAAGGCCCUCUGGCAUUCUUCGGUUGCUUCGUCAAUAUCCACCUUCGGUUUCCAAAGGCCGAAGCGCUGCCAGAUAGGGCGCAUGAUGAUAUCUUUAAUAUCUUCUCGCGUCUUCAAGUCGUUUUUCACAUAGAACCAUUCCUUCAUCCAGUCCCCGGGCCAUCUCUUCCGAAAAGUUGGCACGGGACAACUUGACCCAGAGCGGGCACCGAAGCUAUAACAGCCAAAAUUGUUAUGAUAUUGCUCUUUACCCCAGGGUUUCGUCUCAUAUAAUAACUCAUGCAUACUGCAGAAACUUUUUGCAUUUGGCUCCAAACCUUGGCUCUUCAUGGCCCAUACGAAGAUUCCCAUCCUUAUGAUUGCUUCGGGAGUAAUUUGAUGAAGGCAGAUUUCAAAUAUCUUCAAAACUUCUACCACGAAACUGCUCAAAGGAAACCGAAGUCCAGCCUUGAAGAAACUUCGGAAUAUCACGACUUCAUUUUCCUCGGGAGUAGGACAAGUUUUCUCUCCUUCGUCAGCCCUCACAAUAGAUAAAUCCCGAAAAUAUCUACCCCUCAUAUUGACAAGAUGGCUUUGUUUAAUGCUUGAUUUUCCAAAAACUGCAUGGCUUGGUCGCCAGGGUCGAUCUUCGGAAUCUUCACCACCACUUUCCACAUCAUAACUGUCACUAUCACCAGUGUCUUCAGACAAACCCUCUAAAAUCUCCUUAGUAAUCUUCUCUGUAUUUGUCUUUGCUAUUGAUUCAAGAAAGCCGAGAUUCAUCUCCUCGGAAAGGCUCAGCUUUGACUCAGCGGCAGCUUUCUUGUCUUCAGACAUCUUCGAAAAUGCUGAGAAAGUGCUCUCAAAGCCGAAGCUUAAAAAUUUAAAAAAGCCAAGCAAGUGUUGGCGCGCAAGAGCUAAAAAUUGAGUAAGCAAGAGCAGAUGGCAAGAAAGCGUGCCAAAUGAACUCGUGGUGAGCUCCUAUUUAUACGCCUAGUACGUCGAAAACUGGAGGGUCCCGCUUGUCAAUGACUGUUGCUAUUCUAGCAAAGGGAAGGUGUUUUUUCGGACCUUCGGCUUAAGGCCUUCAUCCAUGUCGCAAUCUAAAUUUAUCAUUCUAACAAAUUAAUAUUGCGAGGGGCUACUCUUGGGGGCAUUCGGCUUCCGAAGGUCCUCAAAAACAUGAUUUAACAAUGCCUCUGGAGUAUAAUGUGUGGACAGGGAUCUUCGAACAAGAACCCACGUUAUGAAGAAGCACAAAAACAAUACGAAGGAUGAAACAGAGCCGAAGUUGUGCGCAAGGGAGCUUCGGCAUGAUGACAGAAAAGAGGAAACCGACUUAAAGAGGAAAAGACUAUCUAGACCCAGAUAAAUUACUAUAGAGUUAUUGUCAAAAGCAAAGGGCCUGGAUGUAAUUUUGCAUGGGCUGCGACCUGUGCCUAUAAAUAGGUGAACAGUAUUCCCGUACUGUUCACGCUGACUUGGCAUUCGCUUUCGCGUCACGCUUGUACCCUUGCUUUCAUUCGAGCCGAAGGUACAUUUAUAAUUUGUUAUUUUUGAUACAGUAACGCAAAU
rnacentral:lncRNA from 1 species